AGACUUACUACAAUGCAUCUCACCCCACUACCACAAGCAAUGUUCUGCUUAAAAUAUCUGUACUGUCACUGUCUGUUCAAUCCCACACGCUUUUUACAAGGAACAUUUUGUUUAUUCUUCAUUUUCCCAAAAACCUUAAUAUUGUCAUCAAGUUUUGUCUCAGUACCUCUCUCAGUCAUUCGACAGACUGCCGAAAAGCUGUUCGGGAUAUUCCUCUUAGGGAAAAAAGUAUCAUUCACAAUUUUCAGGUACUUCAGUAGGAUCGAAAAAUUCUGACCAGAACCUCCACAAAAGCCACCCUUACGUAUUCAUGUUACAAGCCACCAGGAGCAUAGGACAAAGUGAUUUUCAUACUUUCAGCAGGUACUGAGUUAAGUACCUCCAGCAGUUUGUAAAUCUAUCUGGCAUUAUUACUUUUCCAUCCUGUCCUACUUUUUGAUGAUCUGAAAUCAAAGGAAUUUGGAGGAAAUGCUGGAAAUUUGGUAUGAAAAUGUUGGAAGUGGCUAUUAUCUGAUUUGUUAAACACUUACAUUAAGGCCCAAAGGUUGUAAUGUGCCUUGCUGGAUGAUUGUGUGCUCUCAUUGGGCUCAGUUCAAAUAGUUUAGAACGGGCAGGCAGUGUGAAACUGACUGGGGCAAGUGACAACAAUCAGAAGUAUAGGGAUUACAUGAACAGAAAUAAUAUUUAAAACAGCAACUUGCUCCAUAAGAGGUGAAAUACCACAUCUAAGGUAGCACAUUUAAAUUACUGGUUCAUGCAGGAAGUGCUGGGGGAUCGAGAUGGUGAGCAGACAGGAGAUAGAAGCAGAGAUUCUGUAGUUACACGGGAUGCUAUGUUAUAUACCCCUAGGGUUCAUAUUUUCUGUGCACUGUCACUUUAAAAUGUUGGGAGAAUGAGACUGACUUUUGGACACUGUUUGGGGGGGGAGGGGGGAGGGAGAUGGAGUUAUUUGAUGGAAAAUAAUGCUAUGGUUUCUCUGCAGCUUGUUUUGAAUAUACAAGGACACACAGACACACACAGUUAGAGUCAAGAUGGAUUCGGUCAAUGGAAGACACCAGUGAGUCGGUCGCUGGUUUAAACUUUCAGCAGCCCAGAAGGGGUAAAGGAAGCCCAGGAACCAACAGCAGACACCAUGACAUCGAGCCAGGAGAUCACGUCGUGGUGCGGACAUUUAAAAGAAAGAACUGCUGGAACCUUGAUUUGAAGGACCCUUUCAGGGAAUUCUGGUCACUAAUACAGCCAUCAAGAUUCCAAGAAGCGAGCACAUACUCGGAUGGACCCUACGCGAAGAAACUUAGUGGCAGGGAGCAAGCCGACGUUCGACUCCAUUUUGCCCAUUAAAACAUCGAGGAAGAUCGAGACAUCUAUGCAUGUGUGAAAGGCAAGCGCGAGUUCAGCGCUGAACAGCUCCUUUUGUUCGCUGCCAGAGAAGGAACCUGCAAACUGUGCGGCUCGCUGUGGCAGAGACAAUUCUACUCCAAGAACAUCGGGUACUGCAGGGCACUUCAGUGAACCUACUGGUGCGGUGGAGCAGACCAGGUCGCUGCCUGCUACUCGGAAGCAUCGGAGUUGGUGCAGUAUAACCGCAGGAAAUUGUCUCGGACAUCUCACUUGCGAUCACAACACUCUGUUGGAUAGUGAUAAUGUAAGCUGCCACAGGCCCGUUACCCUUCUCUGGCGAAGGAACAGUCAACAUGGAAGCUGCGUAACCUCAGUUGUAGCAAGAACUAGGCUUUAAGCCUUGGGCUUACCUGCUGCUGCAGACCAAGGGAGAGACGCAGUGACACUAGAGUGGUUGAGCUCGGCUGGAGCCUGGCCUCGCCCCGUGUUGCCCUCCCACGUUUGAGUGGUGCAUUGCCAAUAUGCUACUUUGCUGACACUUCGAAUUAUGUCACUUAUUAUUUUUGAGUGUUUGCUUGCUCUAUUGAAUGUUUGCAACUUGGCUCUACAGGAACGCUGUCUUGUUCAGCUACAUCUAUGUAUGGUUUGAACGACAAUUAAACUUGAUUUGUUUAAAUCUAUAGUUGUACUGUGGAGAGCAUUCUGACAGGCUGCAUCACUGUCUGGUCUGGAGGGGCUACUGCACAGGACCGAAAGAAGCUGCAGAGGGUGUGAAUUGGGAUGAUGUUUUUGCAGGGAAAUGUACUAUGGACAUGUGAUCGAUGUUUAGGGAUCUCUUGCAGGAUGUUAGGGAUAAAUUUGUCCUGGUGAGGAAGAUAAAGAAUGGUAGGGUGAAGGGACCAUGGGUGACAAGUGAGGUGGAAAAUCUAGUCAGGUGGAAGAAGGCAACAUACAUGAGGUUUAGGAAGCAAGGAUCAGAUGGGUUUACUGAGGAAUACAGGGAAGCAAGAAAGGAGCUUAAGAAGGGGUGAGGACAGCAAGAAAGGGGGCAUGAGAAGGCCUUGGCGAGUAGGGUAAAGGAAAACCCCAAGGCAUUCUUCAAUUAUGUGAAGAACAAAAAGAUGACAGGAGUGAAGGUAGGACCGAUUAGAGAUAAAGGUGAGAAGAUGUGCCUGGAGGCUGUGGAAGUGAGCGAGGUCCUCAAUGAAUACUUCUCUUUGGUAUUCACCAAUGAGAGGGAACUUGAUGAUGGUGAGGACAAUAUGAGUGAGGUUGAUGUUCUGGAGCAUGUUGAUAUUAAGGGAGAGGAGGUGUUGGAAUUGUUAAAAUACAUUAGGACAGAUAAGUCCCCGGGGCCUGACGGAAUAUUCCCCAGGCUGCUCCAUGAGGCGAGGGAAGAGAUUGCUGACCCUCUGGCUAGGAUCUUUAUGUCCCCGUUGUCCACGGGAAUGGUACCGGAGGAUUGGAGGGAGGUGAAUGUUGUCCCCUUGUUCAAAAAAAGGUAGUAGGAAUAGUCCGGGUAAUUAUAGACCAGUGAGCCUUAUGUCUGUGGUGGGAAAGCUGUUCGAAAAGAUUCUUAGAGAUAGGAACUAUGGGCAUUUACAGAAUCAUGGUCUGAACAGGGACAGUCAGCAUGGCUUUUUGAAGGGCAGAUCAUGUACAACAAGCCUGAUAAAGUUCUUUGAGGAGGUGAGCAGGUAUAUAGAUGAGGGUAGUGCAGUGGAUGUGAUCUACAUGGAUUUUAGUAAGGCAUUUGACAAGGUUCCACACGGUAGGCCUAUUCAGAAAGUCAGGAGGCAUGGGAUCCAGGCGGAUUCAGAAUUGGCUUGCCUGCAGAAGGCAAAGGGUCGAGGUGGAGGGAGUACAUUCAGUUUGGAGCAUUGUGACUAGUGGUGUCCCACAAGGAUCUGUUCUGGGACCUCUACUUUUCGUGAUUUUUAUUAAUGACCUGGAUGUGCGGGUAGAAGGGUGGGUAGCAAGUUUGCAGAUGACACAAAGGUUGGUGGUGUUGUGGAUAGUGUAGAGGAUUGUCAAAGAUUGCAGAGAGACAUUGAUAAGAUGCAGAAGUGGGCUGAGAAGUGGCAAAUGGAGUUCAACCCGGAGAAGUGUGAGGUGGUACACUUUGGAAGGACAAACUCCAAAGCAGAGUACAAAGUAAAUGGCAGGAUACUUGGUAGUGUGGAGGAGCAGAGGAAUCUGGGGGUACAUGUCCACAGAUCUCUGAAAGUUGCCUCACAGGUAGAUAGGGUAGUUAAGAAAGCUUAUGGAUGUUAGCUUUCAUAAGUCAAGGGAUAGAGUUUAAGAGUCGCGAGGUAAUGAUGCAGCUCUAUAAAACUCUGGUUAGGACACACUUGGAGUACUGUGUCCAGUUUUGGUCGCCUCACUAUAGGAAGGAUGUGGAAGCAUUAGAAAGGGUACAGAGGAGAUUUACCAGGAUGCUGCCUGGUUUAGAGAGUAUGCAUUAUGAUCAGAGAUUAAGGGAGCUAGGGCUUUACUCUUUGGAGAGAAAGAGGAUGAGAGGAGACAGGAUAAAGGUAUACAAGAUAUUAAGAGGAAUAGAUAGAGUGGACAGCCAGCGCCUCUUCCCCAGGGCACCACUGCUCAAUACAAGAGGACAUGGCUUUAAGGUAAGGGGUGGGAAGUUUAAGGGGGAUAUUAGAGGAAGCUUUUUUUACUCAGAGUGGUUGGUGCGUGGAAUGCACUGCCUGAGUCAGUGGUGGAGGCAGAUACACUAGUGAAGUUUAAGAGACUACUAGACAAGUACAUGGAGGAAUUUAAGGUGGGGGGUUAUAUGGGAAGCAGGGUUUGAGGGUCAGCACAACAUUGUGGGCCAAAGGGCCUGUACUGUGCUGUACUAUUCUAUGUUCCAUGUUUAAAUCUAGUCAGCUCCACCUUGGGUACCAGCCUACAAAGUACCCAGGACAUCUUCAGGGAGUGGUGUCUCAGAAAGUCAGCGUCCAUUAUUAAGGACCUCCAGCACCCAGGGCAUGCCUUUUUCCUCACGGUUACCAUCAGGUAGGAGGUACAGAUGCCUGAAGACACAAACUCAGUGAUUAAGGAACAGCUUCUUCCCCUCCGCCAUCCAAUUCCUAAAUGGACAUUGAAUCUUUGGACAAUACCUCACUUUUUAAAAAAAGUAUUUAUGUUUUUCACGUUUUUAAAAAUCUUCAAUAUAUGUAAUUGAUUUAGUUGUUUAUUUUUUUUCCCCCCUCUCUGCUGGAUUACGUAUUGCAUCGACCCAUUGAUGCUAAGUUUAAAAAAUUUCACGUCAUGUGCUAGUGAUAAUAAACCUGAUUCCGAUUCGAUUUGAAAUACUCCUACAAAGUAACUUUUCUUCAAUGAAAAGGCCUUUAAACUGGGGGGGGGGGGGCAAAAAUGUGAAACAGAUUCUGAUCUGUGGAUUCUAAACAUCAGAAUCAGCUAACAUGAAGGAACAUAUAGAGCUGCAGAUCCAACUAGUCACACAAAGCUUCAAAACACUGAAAUACAAUAACUGCCCAUGCACAGGGCCCCCAGGUGUUCUGCUCAAAUACCGUUGUACAGAACACAUUGUUAUUUUUAAAAAGAGAACUUAACCUAUAGGCCAUUCCCAAUCGCUGCCCUGGUAAUAAAUUAUUGGCAAAUUUCCAGAAUGAAAACAGGUAAUUUCCAAAAUCAGUUGCUAGAAAACUAGUCACAGAUUUCUCACCAAACAAGUGAUACUGUACAGGUCAGAACAAGCACUGAUGACACCAAGCACCAGGUUAUGCAACAGGCACAGAAAAGCACACACUCAAACCUGGUACAGCACACUUUAUCCAAUUCCUGAUCUACAACCCUCUCAGGGAUACUUGCACUCGAUAACAUUUUCGUAUUUCAUUACUAAUAGUAGUGUCAAAAGUCAAGCCGAUAAAAUGACUGCUACAGACCUAUAGGUGUCAAAGUAGUUGUUGUGUCACAUUUAGUGUGGUAGCGUUUGUCGCUCUCACUUUCAGAUUUCACUGCCAGCUAGCAGUGUAAGUCUCUCCCUGCCAGUACAUAGCCUCUCCAACAAAAAUCCUCAUGUAGUGCCUCCUCUGGGAGGGAGGAGGAGAUGGCGGUGCGACGCAGCGCGCACAGCCAUUCCGAAUGAAUAUCGUAUUGUGAAGUGGGAUGCCGUGCACAAUCUGGAUUUGAUGGAGACAGCCCUGAGAAGCACGGAGGAAGAUCUGAAAAAACUUCUGAAAUGCCUGCUUCACUGCCGCUGCUACUGUACGAUCAAGAAUCUCCGGAGACGAAGGCCCCAAAUCCUCGGCUUUGUGUAUCGCCUAUUGCCGGGGCCGAAGCACUCGGCAGAGAUGGUGCUUGGUGUUGAAGAGGUGGUCAGAGGCUCAGAGUUUUCGGACGGACUUGGAGUUGGACUGUGGUCGGAUAGUUCCAGGAUGCUGCAUCGGCAAGUUGGAGGCGCUGGAGAUUUACUGUCUGCGUGAGAUGAUGGGACUUUCGAGAGACUUUGAGACUUUUACUGUGCCAUGGUCUGUUCUUAUCAAAUUACAGCAUUGCUUUGCACUGUUGUAACUAUAUGUUAUAAUUAUGUAGUUUUUGUUAGUUUUUAAGUCGGUUUAUCAUGGGUUUUCGUGACAUCAUUCUGCAAAAACAUUUUUAUCAUUUCUUAAUGCAUGCAUUACUACAUGACAAUAAAAGGGGACUGCGUGUCUUCAUAAUCUAAUCCAAUCCUCACUGGUGAUACAGAAACUGAACUCCUUUCAGACUCAGGCAGUACUACAGAGGACAGGGAGGAAACCUGGCCCCUGCUCACAUAGCACGUAGGCCCACCUGUGUGUGGACACGCUCUGGUGCUCGUGAACAAGAUCCAAGAUCCCCAGCUACAGGUAAAUAGCCCCACUGCCUGUGGACAGCCUUGGGAGAGACAAUGGCUUCGGGAGUAAACCCAUUCAGUAAAUCCGGACUGGAGUCCCUAAGGCUGCUGGAUGUUACUCAACAUCCUUCUGGCAGCUUCUGCAGCCAAGCUGGUGCCAAAUGUAUUGCUUCAUAAGCUUUCCUUUGGACUACACUGGUGAGGUCAAGAGGGGGAUCUUGACAACUGGGAAUCUCAGGAUCUUCACAGCUUCCACCCAGGCUUAUGGUGGUGGUGGUGAUCAUCACCCAUUAUCCUUCGAGACAAAUGGAUGCCAACCGACAAACCUAUAACCAGAGCUGGGAUUGAUUCUGAAGUGAUGAAUUAAGAUCACAGAGACAGCAUAUGCAAUCACAAAAGAAAAGCAACAUUGAUGCUAGUGCCUGAAUGGUACUAUAGCGUAGGGCAGCACAGCAUAAAGCACAAUGCUUUACACCACCAGCUGCAUAAUCACAGUUCAAUAUGCACUGCUGCCUAUACAAACUUUGUACAUCGUCCUGUAACUUCAGAUUUCCUCUGGGCACUCCAGUAUCCUCACGUAUUACAAGGAUGUACGAGUUAGGGUUAGUAAGUUGUGAACAGGUUAGGUUGGCACCGGAAGCGUAGUAAAACUUGCGUGCUGCCCCCAGCACAGACUGUGCUGGUCAUCAAUGCAAACGACACAUUUCACUGUAUGUUUUGAUGUUCAUAUGGUAAAUAAAUACUUUCCCUCCUACGCAGUUCUCUACUACUGCAUCAGAUCACUAGCACAUAUGCUUUUGACUGCCAAAGCCAACUCUAGACUAAAUGGAACAACCUUUUUGCCAGUCUCCCCAAACCUUCUGUACCACUCAUUAAAUAAAUGCAAGUGCCAAUUGUGCACUGUUAACUGACAAUAUUUAUCUCAUUAAGACCACAGUUCAAUUUAUGGUUUAAAAUUAAGGACCACAUUGAAGGAACCUCAUUUAUAUCAAGUCUGAUCAUAUUCAGAGUUCCAAAGCCCUCCAUAUAAUCAAAAUUGGCAUACUCAACUGUGUACAGCAUGACCCACAAACACCACACAGGAAGACCUAAAGGUUAUUUAUUUGUGGUAUUUAUAGACAUUGACAAGCUCAAAUUUCACACAUCUCCACCCUGACUGUGGCCAUAAAUAUGACAAUCCUAAUGCAUACCUGAUUAAGUGCAAAACACUUCAAUAAUCACAUAGAAUAGUACUAAAGAUACCAUGCUGUGCUAGAUAAAGCAGAGCCUAGCCAAUAUGACCCAACCCACAUGAUUCAUCAGAGUGCACACCCAGUAUUCAUGGUUGGGUGCUGCCAAGCUUUGGUCGGAUGUACCUUGAACACAAUUUUCACAGUGCUACUCAACUAUACAGACUGGAUUUAUACACCAGUGAUUUCUGAGGUCUGGUAGGUUAACUACAUUGUACUGUGGUACAACAGUAGCCAGCAAUUUACCACCGUCUUUAAGGGCAAGUAGAGAUUAGCAAUACAUGGUCUUGUACAUGUACAGUUGCAAGAAAAAGUUUGUGAACACUUUGCAAUUACCUGGUUGUCUGCAUUACUCAAAAUGUAGUCUUAUCUUCAUCUAAGUCACAAUCUUCCUAAAUUAAUAACACACAAACAAUUGUUUAUUGAAUACAUUUUUAAAUUAUUUACAGUCCAUGCUGGGAAAAGUGUGAGAUCCCCUGGUAGAACCUCCUUUAGCAGCAAUAACUUCAACCGAGCAUUUGCUGUAAUUGCUCAUCAGACUUGUACAACAGCAAGGAAAAAUUUUUAGACCAUUCCUCCAUAUAAAACUGUUUCAGUUCAUCAAUAUUUCUGGGGUACCCUGUGGAACAUCCCUCUUCGGGUCAGGCCACAACAUCUCAAUUGGGUUAAGGUCCGGACUUUGACUUGGCCAUUCCAAAGCACAAAUUCUCUUAUUUUAAACAGAACUGUUGUUGAUUUACUCGAGUUUCUGAUCAACAAAGCAGCCCCAAACCAAGAUGCUCCUUCCACCAUGCUUCACAAUUGGUGUGGGGUUUUGAUGCUGGUGUGUAGUGCCCCUUUUCCUCCAAACACAGUGGUGCCAAAGAAUUCCAACUUUUGUCUCAUCUUUCCACAGAACACUGUCCCAGAAGCAUUGUGGAACAUACAGGUGUUUUUUUUUUUGCAAACUUCAAAAAAAUUUGUUUGUGCCUGAAGAGCAGAGUAGCAGUUUCCUCCAUGGUAUCCUCGCAUGAACACCAUUCUUCUUCAAUGUUUUUCUUAGUGGAAGCAUGAACAGAGACUUUAACAACUAGAGAUUUCCGCAGGUCUUUCGCUGUUACCCUUGGGUUCUUUUUCAGCUCCUUCACCAUUGCACAUUGUGCUCCUGGUGUGAGAUCCUUGCAGGAUGCCCACUCCUUGGGAGAGUAGCAACAGUACUGAAUUUCCUCCAUUUGUAGACAAUUUCUCUUAUUGUGGAUGGGUCUUCAGAAACGGUUUUGUAGCCUUUUCCAGCUUCAUGCUUCUCUACAAUUUUUCAAUCUAAGGUCCUCUGAAAGUUGUUUUGAUCUAGGCAUAGUGCACACAAACAAACAGAUUUUUCUUGAGAAGAGCAGGUUCUGUCAGCAACCUUUUAAAAAAAAUCAGGCAGGGCCCUUCUGCAACCCAACCUCAUCUCAUUGAUUGGAAUAUCCAGCUCCAAAUAGCUUUUGUAGAAGGCAUUACCCCAGAUGUUCACAUACUUUUUUUUUGAACCAAGACUGUGAUUGUUUAAAAGGUGUACUCAGUAUUGACGAGAAGCAGAGUUGUUUGUAUGUUAUUAGUUUAGGUAGAUUGUAUUCAUCUAUUAUUGUGACUUAGAUGAAGAUCAAAUUCAGAAUCGGAUUUAUUAUCACCAGCAUGUGUCACGAAAUUUGUUAACUUAGCAGCAGCAGUUCAAUGCAAUACAUAAUAUUGAAACAAUAAAAUAAUAAUAAAUCAAUUACAGUAUACAUAUAUUGAAUAGAUUAAA